rnacentral:rRNA from 1 species
ACGUGAGCUGACUGUCAAGAAAAGCCGCUGUUGUUUGCAGGAUACCCGUACCGUAAACCGACACAGGUGGAUGAGGAGAGAAUCCUAAGGCCGACGGGAGAAGCAUUGUUAAGGAACUCGGCAAAAUGACUCCGUAACUUCGGGAGAAGGAGUGCCAGUAAGAUGGCCGCAGAGAAUUGGCCCAAGCAACUGUUUAGCAAAAACACAGGUCUAUGCAAAACCGAAAGGUGAGGUAUAUGGGCUGACGCCUGCCCGGUGCUGGAAGGUUAAGGGGAGAGGUUAGCGCAAGCGAAGCUUUGAACUUAAGCCCCAGUAAACGGCGGCCGUAACGAUAACGGUCCUAAGGUAGCGAAAUUCCUUGUCGGGUAAGUUCCGACCCGCACGAAAGGCGUAAUGAUUUGGGCACUGUCUCAACAAUGCACCCGGUGAAAUUGAAAUACCAGUGAAGAUGCUGGUUACCUGCGCCAGGACGGAAAGACCCCAUGGAGCUUUACUCCAGCUUGAUACUGGGAUUCGGUAUUGCAUGUACAGGAUAGGUGGGAGGCUAGGAAAUGGUAACGCCAGUUGCCAUGGAGCCAAUGUUGGGAUACCACCCUUGCAGUACUGGGUUUCUAACCAGCAGCCGUGAUCCGGCUGGGGGACAAUGUCAGGUGGGGAGUUUGACUGGGGCGGUCGCCUCCGAAAGGGUAUCGGAGGCGCUCAAAGGUUCCCUCAGAAUGGUUGGAAACCAUUCGAAGAGUGCAAAGGCAGAAGGGAGCUUGACUGCGACACCGACGGGUGGAGCAGGUACGAAAGUAGGACUUAGUGAUCCGGUGGUAUAAAGUGGGAUUGCCAUCGCUCAACGGAUAAAAGCUACCCUGGGAUAACAGGCUUAUCACUCCCAAGAGUUCACAUCGACGGAGUGGUUUGGCACCUCGAUGUCGGCUCAUCGCAUCCUGGGGCUGAAGUAGGUCCCAAGGGUUGGGCUGUUCGCCCAUUAAAGCGGUACGCGAGCUGGGUUCAGAACGUCGUGAGACAGUUCGGUCCCUAUCCGGCGUGGGCGUAAGAUAUUUGAGAGGAGCUGUCCUUAGUACGAGAGGACCGGGAUGGACUGGCCGCUGGUGUAUCUGUUGUCUUACCAAAGGCAUAGCAGAGUAGCCAAGCCGGGAAGGGAUAAACGCUGAAGGCAUCUAAGCGUGAAGCCCCCCUCAAGAUGAGAUAUCUCAUAACGUCAAGUUAGUAAGACCCCUUGAAGACGACGAGGUAGAUAGGGCAGAGGUGGAAGUGUGGUAACACAUGGAGCUGACUGUUACUAAUAGGUCGAGGGCAUAACCAA